ensembl:lncRNA
CGCUCUGCUCGGGUGAUGUCUUUGUUCCAAGAUUGAUUAAACGACUCGUGUGUUUCUCUUCGUCCUGAGAAUUGCUGUGAAGCUAGAUAACAUGCUAACGCUGUGUUCUGAACAUAGUUUGACAAGUUUAGUCGACAUUUAAUAUGUAAUUUCGACGUUUUGGUGCGCACCCACUUGACUUUUUGGCUGCAUUUCAACCGAAAUGUGUCGUGUUUGAUCACCGAAAGACACAGACUUCCAAACUAAAGCUGUUUUUGUGUACUACAAUCCUUGACCAGGACGUUCAGAGUGUGGCUGAACCCUAACCAGUACCAGUAGGACAUGACCGACAGCAUCCAGAACGGCACUGAGGACCCCUAUGAGUCCUUCAACAUCAUAAUGAGACUCAAACCCAAGGAGAACAACUUCAAGAACAGCCUCAAUUCAUCAGGGCGUGGACUCUACAAGUUCCACAAGGCUGACUCCAUUGCUUCCCACAGUUGUCAUGUUGGCUGGAUGUCCCUUGGUUGGUGGACCAUUCUUGAUACACAUGGGAAACUGUUGAGAAUGGAAAACCCCCUGCAGCAUUCUUGACACACUCAAACCAGUGCACCUGGCACCUACUACUACACCCCGUUCAAAGGCACUUCAAUCUUUUGUUUUGCCCAUUCACCCUCUGAAUGGCACACACACACAAUCCAUGUCUCAAUUGUCUCAAGGCUUAAAAAUCCUGCUUUAACCUGUCUCCUCCCCUUCAUCUACACUGAUUGAAGUGGAUUUAACAGGUUACAUCAGUAAGGGAUCAUAGCUUUCACCUUGUCAGUCUGUCAUGGAAAAAGCAGGUUUUUCCUAAUGUUUUGUACAUUUGCUCUAUGUGAAAUAUCCAUAUCGCAAGAGAUCCAUUAUUUUUGCGAUAUUUUAAAACAUGUGUAACGUCCGUUUUCAUAGUUUAUUCCUCUUGCCGUCUCUCUGCCUUUCUCCUACAGGCUGCUUCCCAAUGCACACCAAGUCCCGCCCCCUGUCACUCAUUCAAGCAUGGCAGCGGUUAUCACUGUAAAUUCACUCUGCAUACAAUACAUGUACAGUCAACUGUAAACAAGAACGAUUCUAC